rnacentral:tRNA from 1 species
CAGGGAGACAACAAAAUGUUAAAUAUUAAUUUUGUCACCUUAGGUCGAUCGGUAUCUCAGAUUCUUAAUUAAUUAAGAAUUUCAUUUCCUAAGUUUUUCUAGGUCACACCCAUUAUUUUCCUGGGCCAUUAGCUCAGGUGGUUAGAGCGCACCCCUGAUAAGGGUGAGGUCCCUGGUUCAAGUCCAGGAUGGCCCAUAUCUCUAUGUUGGGGGUAUAGCUCAGUUGGUAGAGCGCCUGCUUUGCAAGCAGGAUGUCAGCGGUUCGAGUCCGCUUACCUCCACUGAUUACCACCUCUUCCAUAACCGGUAGAAAGGAAAUGUUUUGAGUUGUGAUCAAAUUCUGAAAGAAUCUAGCUUCCUAGUGAAACCAUUAAGAUGCUGGACUCAUUGAAUUAAUUUCAUUGUUUUCAGAGAACCUUGACAACUGCAUAGAUUAUCUUAAAGACAAUAAGCAUCUUUGAUGAUGCAGAUUUAUUAUUUGUGCUAAUGCAUUAAUAACAAUUCUAUUAAGCUGAUGCUUCAAUUUUGAAGUUAUU